UUAUAAAGCAAGACACUGAAAAUGUCUAGAUGGGCAUUAUUGCCCCAUCAACA
rnacentral:tRNA from 1 species